GAUGAACGCUAGCGGCAGGCAUAAUACAUGCAAGGCGAAGGGGCAGCAAUGUCACUGUCGUACGGGUGCGUAACGCGUAUGCAACCUACCUAUCACUGGGGGAUAGCCCGGGGAAACCCGGAUUAAUACCGCAUAAAACAGGGGCACCGCAUGGUGAUAUUUGUUAAAGAUUUAUUGGUGAUAGAUGGGCAUGCGUUCGAUUAGCUAGUUGGCGGGGUAACGGCCCACCAAGGCGACGAUCGAUAGGGGAGCUGAGAGGUUGGUCCCCCACACGGGCACUGAGAUACGGGCCCGACUCCUACGGGAGGCAGCAGUAGGGAAUAUUGGGCAAUGGAUGCAAGUCUGACCCAGCCAUGCCGCGUGCCGGAUGAAGGCCCUCAGGGUUGUAAACGGCUUUUAUUCGGGAAGAAGAGCAGGGAUGCGUCCUUGUGUGACGGUACCGAAUGAAUAAGCACCGGCUAACUCCGUGCCAGCCGCCGCAGUAAUAC
rnacentral:rRNA from 1 species